rnacentral:tRNA from 1 species
UUGCAUUAGAAUUAGAAUCUAAUUACACUAAAAUUACCCCUUCUAAUUCACUAAUAACUAUU